UGAAAUAUAGGGGUUCUGAAGACU
rnacentral:piRNA from 1 species